rnacentral:rRNA from 1 species
GCGAGUGAGAGGGAAGAGCCCAAGAUUGAAAGCUGGCGUCUUCGGCGUCCGCAUUGUAAUCUCAAGAAGUGUUUUCCGCUUCGGACCAUGCCUAAGUCCCUUGGAAAAGGGCAUCAUAGAGGGUGAUAAUCCCGUACAUGGCAUGGAGCGCCCGAAGCUUUGUGAUACGCUUUCUAAGAGUCGAGUUGUUUGGGAAUGCAGCUCAAAAUGGGUGGUAAAUGCCAUCUAAGGCUAAAUAUUGGGGAGAGACCGAUAGCGAACAAGUACAGUGAUGGAAAGAUGAAAAGAACUUUGAAAAGAGAGUUAAACAGUACGUGAAAUUGCCAAAAGGGAAGGGUAGGAGGUCAGAGAUGCGUUCUGGGAUUCAGCCUUGCUUUUGCUUGGUGUUUUUCCCAGAUUGCAGGCCAACGUCGGUUUUGGUCGCUGGAGAAGGGUGGAAGGAAUGUGGCACCUCUCGGGGUGUGUUAUAGCCUUCUACUGGAUACAGUGACCGGGACCGAGGACAGCAGCGUACUCGCAAGAGCGGGCCUUCGGGCACCUUUACGCUUAGGGCGUUGGCAUAAUGGCCC